GAUGAACGCUGGCGGCGUGCCUAAUACAUGCAAGUCGAGCGAACAGACGAGGAGCUUGCUCCUCUAACGUUAGCGGCGGACGGGUGAGUAACACGUGGAUAACCUACCUAUAAGACUGGGAUAACUUCGGGAAACCGGAGCUAAUACCGGAUAACAUGUUGAACCGCAUGGUUCAACAGUGAAAGACGGUCUUGCUGUCACUUAUAGAUGGAUCCGCGCCGCAUUAGCUAGUUGGUAAGGUAACGGCUUACCAAGGCAACGAUGCGUAGCCGACCUGAGAGGGUGAUCGGCCACACUGGAACUGAGACACGGUCCAGACUCCUACGGGAGGCAGCAGUAGGGAAUCUUCCGCAAUGGGCGAAAGCCUGACGGAGCAACGCCGCGUGAGUGAAGAAGGUCUUCGGAUCGUAAAACUCUGUUAUUAGGGAAGAACAAAUGUGUAAGUAACUAUGCACGUCUUGACGGUACCUAAUCAGAAAGCCACGGCUAACUACGUG
rnacentral:rRNA from 1 species